AUUGAACGCUGGCGGCAUGCCUUACACAUGCAAGUCGAACGGCAGCACGGGAGCAAUCCUGGUGGCGAGUGGCGAACGGGUGAGUAAUAUAUCGGAACGUGCCCAGUAGUGGGGGAUAGCCCGGCGAAAGCCGGAUUAAUACCGCAUACGACCUGUGGGUGAAAGCGGGGGAUCGCAAGACCUCGCGCUAUUGGAGCGGCCGAUAUCAGAUUAGCUUGUUGGUGGGGUAAAGGCUCACCAAGCCAACGAUCUGUAGCUGGUCUGAGAGGACGACCAGCCACACUGGAACUGAGACACGGUCCAGACUCCUACGGGAGGCAGCAGUGGGGAAUUUUGGACAAUGGACGCAAGUCUGAUCCAGCCAUUCCGCGUGCAGGAUGAAGGCCCUCGGGUUGUAAACUGCUUUUGUACGGAACGAAAAGGUCUCUAUUAAUACUAGGGGCUCAUGACGGUACCGUAAGAAUAAGCACCGGCUAACUACGUG
rnacentral:rRNA from 1 species